rnacentral:rRNA from 1 species
CCUACGGGUGGCAGCAGUGGGGAAUAUUGCACAAUGGGGGAAACCCUGAUGCAGCGACGCCGCGUGAAGGAAGAAGUAUUUCGGUAUGUAAACUUCUAUCAGCAGGGAAGAAAAUGACGGUACCUGACUAAGAAGCUCCGUCUAACUACGUGCCAGCAGCCGCGGUAAUACGUAGGGGGCAAGCGUUAUCCGGAUUUACUGGGUGUAAAGGGAGCGUAGGCGGUUUAGCAAGUCAGAAGUGAAAGCCCGGGGCUCAACCCCGGGACUGCUUUUGAAACUGUUGAACUAGAGUGCAGGAGAGGUAAGUGGAAUUCCUAGUGUAGCGGUGAAAUGCGUAGAUAUUAGGAAGAACACCAGUGGCGAAGGCGGCUUACUGGACUGUAAAUGACGCUGAGGCUCGAAAGCGUGGGGAGCAAACAGGAUUAGAUACCCUGGUAGUC